CCAGCCCAGAGAGGAGUUGGCCUGACAGUUUGUGCAGGGGCAUUUUGGCUGUGAGGGAGGGACAAGCUGCCAGUAAAGGAUGAUGUUGUUAACUGUACCUCCUUGACCAAGCAGGCAGAGGCGGUGAAGAAAGGCAAGAAGCGAGGCAAGGGCGGAGGUGCACGUUAGUGCAGCCCAGAGCAGAGGCAGCCGAGCGGAAAAAAUGGCUCACCCAGGAUACAAAAACAAGAAAGGGUUUGAGGCCGUGGAGAGAGAGAGAGAGAGAAAAAAAAAUCCCCUUCGUCUCUACGUUUGACGCAAGCAUUACCACAGGAACAAAUGGAGAGCGCUUGAAACAAGAUUACAGCCAUUGACCUUGGCAACUGUUUGAAAUCCCCAAACCAAUGGUCAAGAAGACUCUGAAAACAAAAAUGCCGGAUAUCACAGCAGGUCCGGCAGCAUCCAUGGAGAGAAAGCAAGCUAACAUUUUGAUGCCUCUUCAUCUGACUUGGUCAGACAUAGCAAGCACCAUUUAAGCUGCUAUUAGACCUGCGGAGAUUUUCCAGGACUUUGAGUUUUUAUUCGAGAUAUCCAAUACCUGCGUAAGGGACUACUGCCCAAAAAAAAAUCACUGACCAACUGUCUAAAAUAGAAGCAGGUGGAACAGCAAGAUGUUAAAGGACGACCAAAUCUGAGAAGGAACUUUGAUACCAACUUCCAAUUGGCUGAGCAUCUGCAGCAGGGGAGGUGGAGAAAUACCUUGAGGGAUUGUGGUGUGGAACUAUUUAACAGAUGAAGGAAUUGUCAGAGACCUGACAAAUUGCACCAAAAGCAAAAGACAACACCCAAGGAACACAAACACAGAAGGUUACUUAAAUCUCUAAAUUGAAGAUGAUAUAGCACCAACGGGACUGGCGGCAUAAUGAUUUAAAUAUUAAUCAUUUAAACUCUGCAAUUACUGGUAUCGGACAUUUUAACCAGCCUGGCUACUCGAGCGUAUCUGACAUCAAACCUGCUGCUUAGAAAAUUCUUGAGCUACCACUGCUGGAAAAGUAAACUUACACAAAUUACCCCCAUGUUACAAGCUAAAAGCACUUGUGGUUUUAAAAUGUUGUCCAGCAUUUUGUAAUUGAGACAACACUUUGCACAAAAUGCAACAAUGUUUUCAUAAUAUGAAGCCUUUAAAAUAUGGUAAACACAUGCCAAACUUCUGUUGACUCAUGAAAACUUAUGUACCAAAAUAUUUGCGUAGGGUCUCAAAUAUUUUUGCAAGUUGUCUGCCACCUUUGCAUUAGAACCUACCUCAAAAGCUUUAUUUAAUUUUAAUAUUUACAAUAAUGAAUAUGAGAAUUGAGGAAUUUCACAAGGUAAUUGCUCAAAUAAUUUAAAACUUUACUGUAGAUUUGUUCUAGUGAGGCGGCUACUGGAAUUCAAAUAAAAGUGAAUGUUGUGGAGAAUAUAGUGUAUUUGUUGUUAAUGAUGUAAAGCUCCAUAAUGGACCUGGGGACGCAUUAUUCAACAAUUUAUGUAGCAGUUUGCAAUUCAAGAUAAAAUCAUUACAGCUUAAUCAACUAAACAAGCAAAUAAUAUUUUAAAGGGAUAUGAACAGAAUACCAGGCCAUAAUAAUUAAGCUCAAAAGUUCUACAUAGACAUUGAACCUUGAUGUUUAAUGGAAUCAAUUGAACCAUCUCAUUUUAUGCCAAGCAGCAGAAUCAACAGGUUUCAAUAAUUUAUUAUACUUGUUAUCUAGGCACUUGCAGAAACAAAUAUA